GACGAACGCUGGCGGCGUGCUUAACACAUGCAAGUCGAGCGGUAAGGCCCUUUCGGGGGUACACGAGCGGCGAACGGGUGAGUAACACGUGGGUGACCUGCCCUCAGCUCUGGGAUAAGCCUGGGAAACUGGGUCUAAUACUGGAUAUGACUCCACGGUGCAUGUCGUGGGGUGGAAAGCCUUGUGCGGCUGAGGAUGGGCCCGCGGCCUAUCAGCUUGUUGGUGGGGUGANGGCCUACCAAGGCGACGACGGGUAGCCGGCCUGAGAGGGCGACCGGCCACACUGGGACUGAGACACGGCCCAGACUCCUACGGGAGGCAGCAGUGGGGAAUCUUGCGCAAUGGGCGAAAGCCUGACGCAGCGACGCCGCGUGAGGGAUGACGGCCUCGGGUUGUAAACCUCUUUCAGCUCCGACGAAGCGGAAGUGACGGUAGGAGCAGAAG
rnacentral:rRNA from 1 species